rnacentral:rRNA from 1 species
GUGGAUGAGGCAUGCAAGUCGAACGAGAUUGUAGGGUAACCUGCAAUCUAGUGGCGGAAGGGUUAGUAAUACAUGAAUAACUUGCCUUUAACCUGGGGAUAACGACUGGAAACGGUCGCUAAUACCGAAUGAGGUGUUUAGCAGAUAACUUUUAGACAUCAAAGUGGGGGACCUCGAAAGGGGCCUGGCGGUUAAAGAGAGGUUCAUGGGAUAUCAGCUAGUUGGUGUGGUAAAGGCGCACCAAGGCUAAGACGUCUAGGCGGAUUGAGAGAUUG